rnacentral:tRNA from 2 species
GUUUUAAUAAUUUAAAUAAAAUAUUGGUCUUGUAAAUCAAAAAUAAGUUAAUCUUUUAAAACU